GCGCUCACUUUGGCAGGACAUGUAUUAGAAAUGGAGCAACACAGAGAUUCUUCUGCACAAGGAUAACACGUAAAUUUAUAACGUGUUUCAAAUUUUU
rnacentral:snRNA from 14 species